rnacentral:rRNA from 1 species
UCUACGGGAGGCAGCAGUGAGGAAUAUUGGUCAAUGGGCGGGAGCCUGAACCAGCCAAGCCGCGUGAAGGAAGAAGGCGCCAGGCGUCGUAAACUUCUUUUGUCGGGGAACAAAGGGCGCCACGCGUGGCGUUGUGAGUGUACCCGAAGAAAAAGCAUCGGCUAACUCCGUGCCAGCAGCCGCGGUAAUACGGAGGAUGCGAGCGUUAUCCGGAUUUAUUGGGGUUAAAGGGUGCGUAGGCGGAGGUGCAAGUCAGCGGUCAAAUUGCGGGGCUCAACCCCGUACUGCCGUUGAAACUGCAUCCCUUGAGUGCGCGAGAAGUAUGCGGAAUGCGUGGUGUAGCGGUGAAAUGCAUAGAUAUCACGCAGAACUCCGAUUGCGAAGGCAGCAUACCGGCGCGCAACUGACGCUCAUGCACGAAAGCGUGGGUAUCGAACAGGAUUAGAUACCCCGGUAGUC